rnacentral:rRNA from 1 species
UGGGGAAUAUUGCACAAUGGGCGCAAGCCUGAUGCAGCCAUGCCGCGUGUAUGAAGAAGGCCUUCGGGUUGUAAAGUACUUUCAGCGGGGAGGAAGGGAGUAAAGUUAAUACCUUUGCUCAUUGACGUUACCCGCAGAAGAAGCACCGGCUAACUCCGUGCCAGCAGCCGCGGUAAUACGGAGGGUGCAAGCGUUAAUCGGAAUUACUGGGCGUAAAGCGCACGCAGGCGGUUUGUUAAGUCAGAUGUGAAAUCCCCGGGCUCAACCUGGGAACUGCAUCUGAUACUGGCAAGCUUGAGUCUCGUAGAGGGGGGUAGAAUUCCAGGUGUAGCGGUGAAAUGCGUAGAGAUCUGGAGGAAUACCGGUGGCGAAGGUGGCCCCCUGGACAAAGACUGACGCUCAGGUGCGAAAGCGUGGGGAGCAAACAGG